CGCGUGUUGAAGAAUGUAGAGAAGCAAGGAAGAAAAAUGGAGGACAUUUUUUUAUCAAACACACCUUUAUUGGAAGGUAAUAUGCUUUAUUUAAUAUCAAUCCUUGUAGUAGAGUACUUAGAUUGCCAAUAUAGAUGGAAAUUUAGGACAUCGAGCCCGAACUUAAUGGGAUAUUUCGGCAUAAAGUUUGCUUUUGCUUUGCACGUGGUUCGCUUUAUGGGCGAUUGUCGAACUUUAAACCGUGUUUUAAUUCAUAACUAUUGUCGAUCAAGUGAGUAAAAAAGACUAAUUAAGAUGUAGAAUUGUUUAAGUUGUCGAAAAAAGUUAUCUCUGAGUUCUUACCCAAAAUUUUUAUAUUUAAAUAUUAAAAUUUUUAUAUCAAAAUGAAAAUCCAGAAAUUCUGGAUGUGUUUCUUGACGUGGCUGCAGGCUGGUGUAAAUUGUUAUAGUGAAAAGCUAGGAGAUGCGGUCAUAGAUCGGUGAGGCUCCUUGGUAAAGAGGACUAGUAUUAAAGAUUGGAAGCUAGUCAACUUGGGCCACUUGGCCCACUGACCAACUCGGCCCAUACCAUCUUGGCCCAAUUGUUAACUACUGUUUGACAUAUUGGGAAAGCUAUUAUUUUACAAAAGAUAGCACCAAACCAAUACAGCCAUUUGCUGUUGCAUUGGGCGUACAGAUGAGUAAAGUUUGAAACAUCCAGUUUGACUUUUAAUUAAAGAAUCUAUCGAAGUUUCAAAUUCUCAAUCUGUCCGUUUUGAUACUAAAUUACUGGUCAUUCAAGUAUAAAAAAAAUACCUGUGGUUCCGGUUUCAUAUCGCGAAAAAAGUAGGGUCGGUAGGUCGGAAAUAUAUUUUUUUGAAUAUUUUUUUCAUGGUUUUUUCAAUAUUAUUAGUGCAACAACAGACGCCAUUUAGGCGGCAGCCCGCAACCACCCAGAGAAAAUAGGGUCGCACGGUCAAUCGCGUUGAAAAAAUAAUAGGGUCGGCAGAGUUGGUCCUUGAACGGUGGGCCGAGUUGGUUAGUGGGCCUAGUUGACUGUAAAGCGUAAGAUUAGAGUUUGUAGGCUGAGGGUGGUUUGAAAAGAUGAUUGUUCUUUUGAGGCACAACUACUCCAGGCUCAAAAAUAUGCACUACAGUAGCAGUGUAAAGCCUUUUUUCGACAUGGGCUGGCAAGGAUUCAGAGAAUGCUAAAAAAUUAAAAAGAUGUCUGGAGUCGGAAUGAGUUUGAAAAAAUUCCAAUCAAAUUUUAACGUAAUCCAAUUAGCCUUUCUCAUGCCACCAUUUUUGGGUGGCAACCUUUUUCGAAAAAGGAUAGUAAGCAGUGAAAAUGAAGUUGUAAGUUUAAUCAUAUCUCGCUAGCCAAGCUAUUCACACCCUCACCUCAUCUUUUUGUAGAUGUUCAAUGCAAGUUCCAAGAAUGUUGCAAGACCUCAUCAUAAUGAAAAAUGUACACAUUCCAAGAUCCUGAAUAACAGGUAAAUGAUUUUUCCUCUAAUUAUUUCUAACCUCCUUGUAUUUCUUUGGACAAUUUUCUUUGUAAUAUAUUAAUUUGUUUCAUGUUCUCAAUUGCGAGUUUUUAAUUUUCUAGGUGUGUGUGUUGCAAUUUCAAAGAAUGUCUCAAGUUGUUGGCCGAAGAAGUGUUUAUGAUCACAAAAAUGAACAUUGUCAUUGGAAAGUAUAUAAAAGGUCUUAAUAUUUUCCUGUCUUAUCUUACAUGAAGUGUUUUGAAAAUUAUACGAUUGCUUGUGAUCAAUAGUUUAAAAAAAUCCCAGCAGAAUAUUGCAAAUCUAGCAUGACCAUGGUACUUAUGACACAAAAUACAACAAAAAUAAUAAACACAAUCUUUACGC